UUCACCCCCACCACACAGCUCCACAAAACAUCUCUGUGAGCUUAACAGGCGCAGCUCACUUGUCCCACCGCCACCUCCCUGCCCUGGUUUCCCCUGUGGCCAUCCAGUGUCACCCCUGGCUGUGCACGAAUCCACGUAACAACAGGGCAGCUGCAGCUUGGCUUUCUCAUCAGUGUGGUGGGCCUCAACACCUGCUGCGGUCACUGUCCUCUGUUCUUCAAUGCAAUAACUUGCCCAAAAGCCGUGGUGUAAAGGUGUAAUGAGCUUUAAAAAGGUAAUUACUUGUCACUGGAAUAACCUGUGAGGAGAAAGGCUGGAGGGCUGGGUAAGGUUGCAUCCUUGAGGACACUACGAUUCUGCCUAUUUCACUGGCCCAAAGCUGCUGGCACAAUUUUGGGAGCUCAUGGCUAUAUACUACACACACCAUGACCAUGCACCAUGCAUGUAGCAGCAGCCCCCCCCAGGACACCACCAAUGUUCCCCUGCCAACUUUCUGGGGCUGCUCCUCCAGCCACCAUUUAUUGUUAUCUUUAUUAUCAACUUGACCCAAAACAACAACAUCAGGCAGCAUCCCUCUUUCCAGCUUGGUCCCCCGGAGCAGGGAAAAGGGCCGAAUAAUCCCCCUGUGUUCGGUGUGUGGUCUGGUUUUCCAUGUCCUCCUGCAGACAGUACAGAGACGGGGGUCGCGCAGGUCAUCAGAAUGCUAAUAAGAAAUCUGAUUGAUGAGCCGGUGCCUCAGGGAUGAAUGGGAUACUUAAUUAAUGACUUCUGCUCUGCUUAAGGAAAAAAAAGUUUCCCUCAACUCCCAUCCCUCUUUUUCUUAAAAAAAAAAAAAAAAAAAAAAAAAAAAAAAAAAAGGAACCUCUAUAAUCCUAAGUUUUCCAAACAGCAUAAAGGGAACUUCAAAGACAGACAUGGCCAGUUUUUAUGUGUCGGGUUGGUUCACUGAUUCUUUCCUUUCUUUGUUUACAAGGGCAGCCAGGCUUGAUUCCAAGGCUGAAAAAUAAAAGGCCACAUUGUUCAACCAGAUUCUGGAUUUUUACAAGAAAUUUCCUCUCUCCCAGUAGGGCAAUUAACUGCUUCAUCUCUGGGUCCAUGAGCACCAAACCGCGCCACUGGCCCUGUGAAAAGCUGCAGCGGUCGGUUCCUGCCAAAACGCGGCUCUGCUUCGGAAGCAAGACAUACUGUGGAGAUGCUAUUGUCUCACUAAAAGCUAAACGGGAUCCAGGAUUGUGUUUUGCAGAGAAAUAAAAGCCUGCAAGGGAAAAUACCUGGUAGGCACUUAGCUUAAGAACAUCAGGCUGUGCAUUCAGAGCGAUUCCAAUGGGAUUUCAGACCAGCAAUUAGCAAUGGGAAACAGCAACAGUUUCAAAUGAUCUCUUCUGGAUUGAUUUGGAGGGUUAUUUCAUGCUAACUGAAUAGCAGCAGGAAAGAAGAUGAAAAGAAAAGGAAAAAAAAAAAAAAAAAAAAAAAAACACACGAAUUUUUUAACUCUGAGGUCUUUUUUAGGACGCGGCUCAGCUGCGGCAUUCAGUGCAGAGCAGGCUGCUCGGCAUCAGCGCUGGGCUGAUGGAGAAGGGCACAAAAGGCAACGCAUCAGUUCCGGGUGGCUCCUAACGUCCAUCCUUCACCAUGGCCAGCUCGGGCCAUCCCCACGCCCCAAGCAGAGCAUGCCCUCAACACUCUUGGCAGAGACGAGCAGGGAAGGAAGAGGCUUCCCCGUGCAGUGGGACGGGGCAGGCGCUUCCCAGCCCUUCGCCAGGGUUUCACCCCACAAUUGGCCUGACCGCAUUUGGGGAACAUUUUGGUAAGCAGGAGCCGGCCACGUGCUUGCAGUUAUGUGCCUUUAUAAGAGCUCUGUUGGUGUGAAAGCUGUGGGAGGAUGCGAUGACACCAAGCUGAUGGCCGCACAUGAUGGUGAUGCUCGGCAUGGGCAGGCAGGAUAUGCUGGGCUGCUGGAGAGCUGUUUGGAUGCUGCAGCAUAGAUCUUGUUUGUAGCUUCUCCUUGUGGUUGGUAUCACCUGUAGGUCUCCUCAGCUAUCGCUUUAAAUACAAUUCAAAAUCAUUUAAAAAAAAAAAAAAAAAAAAAAGCCAAGCAGCAUUAAGAAUCUGUCUGAAAUUUGGGCAGGUAAGAAAAUGUGCCAACUCCAGAAGAAAUGGCAGGCAGGGUUUUAACCUGGCAGCCUAAUUUACACACUGCUUGCACUUUUCAUGGAACAGUGCACAAAUUGUCGAGGCAACCAGACAUCAGAUUUGGCUGCAGGGCUUGGUGCACCCGCUGCUCUCUCUGGUCAGUGUUUAAAACCCCACUCGGGGCAUUUAGGAGUCCCUCCUUUAGCUAUUUUAUUACCUGAGUAGCACUGCCCUACUUAAAGCCACAGACAAAUUCAGAGCCACCCUCCUCCAUCCAAACCUGGCUUGCAGCCCGCUGUCAUCUCCUCCUGUUUUUUUUUUGUCCAGGAGACGAACACUGCAUAGAAAGAGGCAGCAAAGCAACAACAUAAAAUGCUCAAAUAUUCUCAGCUGGGAUUGGUGUGGCCCACUUGACCAUUAUUUUAGGAAAUUUGAGUGAGUGUGGGUUUACUUCUAGCCCAUCAGCACUCUCUGCUGAAUGAGAAAACCUUGUAAAGGGUUAAUAAACAAAGGGACUUUAACCAAGCUGCAGCAGCUGGAGGAGGAGGAGGCAGAGGUGUGAGAAUGGAUGACCCUCCUGCAGACACGAGGGUGAAGGGACCGGGAGGAAAACAAGUGAGCAAAGCCCCGCCAGCCGAUGGGCAGCCAGGAAAAAAAACAAACCAACAUUUACACCCGCAGCUGAUUUGCAUUUGUAUCGGGCACUUGGGGAAUAGGGAUAAAACAUGCUUUAUUUUUCAGUGGGAUCCAGGGAAUAUCAGCAGCAACACGUGUGCAUAAGCACAAAAGGCAAAAUCAAGGUAUUUUGGUGAUGUUCUUAGGCUGUGAUGGUGCAAGCAGCAGGAAAACGCAUGGCUUGCCCCUUCUUCCUGGGUGCCACCAGCAAGAAAAGCAGCCCAGGCAUGGAACCACAUCGAGUUCUGGAGGUGGUGCCUGUGUGGGAUGCGAGUGUACACUGGUAUUGAUGUCACCAGCAAUGUAUUGCUAAACUGAAUAAGAUGAAAGGCCUGGAGUGUGAGAGGAACAUCAGAGUCCUCUGAACUGCCCCACUGCCUAUUGGGCACUGGCAGGGUAAAAGCAAAGCCAAAAAAACAUCCUUGAAAUAGAGCCCUGGCCAAAUGUUGGAAAAGGCCAUGAAAAGAUGAGCCAUUUGUGUCCACUGAAACAUUUUGUAUGGCCGAGCCUCUUCUCAGGCUGUGGCUGCUCUCCAUGGAUGUAAAACACUGGUUGAUCCUUGAUUCCCCCAGCUCCCAGAUGGAGAUCCCAACCACAUGUGUUCUGGGACAGCCUAUCCCUGUAUGCCCCCAAUGCGUCCAGUGCGUUCCUUCUGGACUUUUGGGGCUCUCUGGUCUAGUGCCUUUGAGGGUUCUCCCCCUGGAGGAUGAGUGAGCCCACCCGUGUGCCAGUCUGGGGCACUGCCUACUGGGCAGCUCCACACGGCCAGAAAAAUCUCCUCUGUCCCUGAGAUAACAGCCCAGAGACCUUCGCUGAUCUCUGAUCCUUCAGAUGCCCUGAGGAAGCCUCAUGAUUUGCCCCCACAUUUAAACAAACUAUGUACUCCUCUGCAUGAAGAAGAGUCACCCAGGACUCUUUGCUUCCAUCCAUAAAGACAAGUUCCCAAAGGGAAUUUCUUGCCGUUUUGAGAUGUUUUGGAGAACAGGGCAGGAUGAGAAGGGAGGGAUGGAGAUACAGCAGUUGAGCCCCUGGCUUACCGUGCUGAUCAGGUCCCAGGUUGGGCCACUACCUUCCUUUUCGGCUGACCCAGUUUGAGCGUUGUGAUCACUUAUUCCCACGCCACGUCAAAGAGAAGGUUGACAUUGUUCACUGGAUAUUAAUUUAAAUUAUUCUGGGGCACUUGGAAACCACCUCCCCACCCCCCCUCUCAGUCUCCAUGGGGACUAUCGCAGAGGCUGGGAGGUAGAAAUGGAGGCGACCGACACACUGAUCUUCCUCCCUUCUGCUGCAAACUGCUGGGAGCAAUUCUCACUGUCAGAAGGGGAAACGCUCGGAUUUAGCUGAACGACUUGCUAGGACAAGACAGAUAGAUGGAUAGAUUUUUCACUC